CUGCCUCAGCCUCCCGAGUAGGAGGGAUUACAGGUGAUCACCACCUGGAACGCACCAGGCAUGGACAGAAGAGGGGAGAGAUGAAGUCUUUAGCUGAAGGUGUUUUGCAAGGGCCCUGUGAGGAGAAGUGAACAGCACCUAGUUGUCCCUGAAAGCACGGACGGUCUAUGGUUCAUGCACGUACUCCAGCCUCCAUCAGGC